rnacentral:rRNA from 1 species
UACGGAGGGUGCAAGCGUUAUCCGGAUUCACUGGGUUUAAAGAGCUCGUAGGCGGCCUGUUGCGUCCGCUGUGAAAUCCCGGGGCUUAACCCCGGGCGUGCAGUGGAUACGGGCUGGCUGGAGGCAGGCAGGGGAGAACGGAAUUCCCGGUGUAGCGGUGAAAUGCGCAGAUAUCGGGAGGAACACCGGUGGCGAAGGCGGUUCUCUGGGCCUGUACUGACGCUGAGGAGCGAAAGCGUGGGGAGCGAACAGG